UUUUCUGGUAAGACUAACACAUAUAUUUUAUCAUAGCUUAAUGAGACACAAACGAUUCUACAGACACUUGAGCAGAGACUUCAGGAGCAAAAUCAAAAGAACUUGGACUUGGAAAGACUGAGCCAAGACGGACAUAAUGAGCUGGAGAGCCAGACCAAGGAACUUGAGCGUGUACAAGCAGACAGUGAGAGGUUUAAAGAGGAGAGGGAUGCGUUUCAGUCCAGACUGAGCACUCUAACUGAGGACAGAGAGCAGCUGCAGCAGGCUCUGGACACACUUGCACAGGAGAAGCAGCAGCUCCAGCAGUUCCUGGACAACAGGAUGGAAAUGCU
ensembl:lncRNA